rnacentral:rRNA from 1 species
GACGAACGCUGGCGGCGUGCCUAAUACAUGCAAGUUGAGCGCUGAAGGUUGGUACUUGUACCCACUGGAUGAGCAGCGAACGGGUGAGUAACGCGUGGGGAAUCUGCCUUUGAGCGGGGGACAACAUUUGGAAACGAAUGCUAAUACCGCAUAAAAACUUUAAACACAAGUUUUAAGUUUGGAAGAUGCAAUUGCAUCACUCAAAGAUGAUCCCGCGUUGUAUUAGCUAGUUGGUGAGGUAAAGGCUCGCCAAGGCGAUGAUACAUAGCCGACCUGAGAGGGUGAUCGGCAACAUUGGGACUGAGACACGGCCCAAACUCCUACGGGAGGCAGCAGUAGGGAAUCUUCGGCAAUGGACGAAAGUCUGACCGAGCAACGCCGCGUGAGUGAAGAAGGUUUUCGGAUCGUAAAACUCUGUUGGUAGAGAAGAACGUUGGUGAGAGUGGAAAGCUCAUCAAGUGACGGUAACUACCCAGAAAGGGACGGCUAACUACGUG